rnacentral:miRNA from 11 species
CAAGUACGAUUCUAAGGGUCCA